rnacentral:rRNA from 1 species
GAUGAACGCUGGCGGCGUGCCUAAUACAUGCAAGUCGAGCGAACGGACGAGAAGCUUGCUUCUCUGAUGUUAGCGGCGGACGGGUGAGUAACACGUGGAUAACCUACCUAUAAGACUGGGAUAACUUCGGGAAACCGGAGCUAAUACCGGAUAAUAUUUUGAACCGCAUGGUUCAAAAGUGAAAGACGGUCUUGCUGUCACUUAUAGAUGGAUCCGCGCUGCAUUAGCUAGUUGGUAAGGUAACGGCUUACCAAGGCAACGAUGCAUAGCCGACCUGAGAGGGUGAUCGGCCACACUGGAACUGAGACACGGUCCAGACUCCUACGGGAGGCAGCAGUAGGGAAUCUUCCGCAAUGGGCGAAAGCCUGACGGAGCAACGCCGCGUGAGUGAUGAAGGUCUUCGGAUCGUAAAACUCUGUUAUUAGGGAAGAACAUAUGUGUAAGUAACUGUGCACAUCUUGACGGUACCUAAUCAGAAAGCCACGGCUAACUACGUGCCAGCAGCCGCGGUAAUACGUAGGUGGCAAGCGUUAUCCGGAAUUAUUGGGCGUAAAGCGCGCGUAGGCGGUUUUUUAAGUCUGAUGUGAAAGCCCACGGCUCAACCGUGGAGGGCCAUUGGAAACUGGAAAACUUGAGUGCAGAAGAGGAAAGUGGAAUUCCAUGUGUAGCGGUGAAAUGCGCAGAGAUAUGGAGGAACACCAGUGGCGAAGGCGACUUUCUGGUCUGUAACUGACGCUGAUGUGCGAAAGCGUGGGGAUCAAACAGGAUUAGAUACCCUGGUAGUCCACGCCGUAAACGAUGAGUGCUAAGUGUUAGGGGGUUUCCGCCCCUUAGUGCUGCAGCUAACGCAUUAAGCACUCCGCCUGGGGAGUACGACCGCAAGGUUGAAACUCAAAGGAAUUGACGGGGACCCGCACAAGCGGUGGAGCAUGUGGUUUAAUUCGAAGCAACGCGAAGAACCUUACCAAAUCUUGACAUCCUUUGACAACUCUAGAGAUAGAGCUUUCCCCUUCGGGGGACAAAGUGACAGGUGGUGCAUGGUUGUCGUCAGCUCGUGUCGUGAGAUGUUGGGUUAAGUCCCGCAACGAGCGCAACCCUUAAGCUUAGUUGCCAUCAUUAAGUUGGGCACUCUAAGUUGACUGCCGGUGACAAACCGGAGGAAGGUGGGGAUGACGUCAAAUCAUCAUGCCCCUUAUGAUUUGGGCUACACACGUGCUACAAUGGACAAUACAAAGGGCAGCGAAACCGUGAGGUCAAGCAAAUCCCAUAAAGUUGUUCUCAGUUCGGAUUGUAGUCUGCAACUCGACUACAUGAAGCUGGAAUCGCUAGUAAUCGUAGAUCAGCAUGCUACGGUGAAUACGUUCCCGGGUCU